rnacentral:lncRNA from 1 species
ACUCUCAGCGCUCCCUUCAAUCCAUAAUCAAUCACUCAACAUAGUACUAUAGUUUGGACUCAGCACCCGUUCACACGGGGGUUGUUAAGGACAAUUACUUGCAUGGAUUACGGUGGUAAUCAUGUAUUGCGAACCGUCUCGGACGGUCAACCCGCAGUCGUUGGUAUCGAUGGUCCCAUGUCGAUAAUUAACAUGCAUCGUUUUCCUUUGUGUGCUUAAGUUGCUAGGAUGCUUAGGCGCAUGGUGAUGAAAUCGAGGCUAGGGAGUCUAGAAAUAAUAAACACUUGUCUGUAAUAAUUAAAUCUGAGUUGUCGGAACGGAAUUACUUGUCUUGUUGUUUUCUAUGAUAACCUGUUAUUUAUUUGGGACACGGUAUG